ensembl:lncRNA
AGGGGGUACCGCUACAGAGUUCAUGUGGAGACUAUGUACAUGGGGGUACCGCUACAGAGUUCAUGUGGAGACUAUGUACAGGGGGGUACCGCUACAGACUCAAUGUGCGGGGGCACCAGUAAGUUGAGGUAAUAUGUGCAUGUAGGUAAUGUUAUUUUAACACUCUCUAUGUUCAAAAUCGGACGAUGGAGGGAAGAAGGGAAGUGGCCGUGCUGCAGAUCAUCUCUGAAAGCUGUGUGUGUGUGUGUGUGUGUGUGUG